GACAGAGGAUGCAAGCGUUAUCCGGAAUGAUUGGGCGUAAAGCGUCUGUAGGUGGCUUUUAAGUCCGCCGUCAAAUCCCAGGCUCAACCCUGGACAGGCGGUGGAAACUACCAAGCUGGAGUACGGUAGGGCAGAGGGAAUUCCGGUGGAGCGGUGAAAUGCGUAGAGAUCGGAAAGAACACCAACGGCGAAAGCACUCUGCUGGGCCGACACUGACACUGAGAGACGAAAGCUAGGGAGCGAAUGG
rnacentral:rRNA from 1 species